rnacentral:lncRNA from 10 species
UUAAAACUGAGGAAACAAGACAUGGUUGCAUCCCACACCUCCAGCAUGGCUAUGCACACUUUUGUUUCAGAAUCACUGGACCAUUAGACCACAUCAGCACUGGACCCAGCUAAAGGGCAGAGAUUCAGAGAUCCCCAACUGUGACUAGUUGUGCAAGAAGCAUGCAGAAUGAUGAGAAACCUACAGCUCAGAAAAGAAACAAAUCGUCUAUAUGGAAGUCCAGUCUUGCUGUGGAAAGGCUCAGAAAAACAAGACCCUUAGCAUAUCUCAGGGAACUGAAAGGCUGUGGGGAAACCAACAGCUUGCUGCAACCACAGCCACAAGUCAGUGUUCCAGCCAUAUACCCUCGGUUCUUUCCAAGACAUCGCUGAAUCAAAAUCCAAAGCAGGUAUUCCCAAGGUGGAAUGACUGUGGCUCUGUGCCAUCUCGAAAUCUACUGGUCUCUAAGCACAAACGAACAUUCUCUUAAACUAAUGAAAUGAGUGGCAGGCAGCGUGUGCAGAGCACCAGCAAAGGCUCAGAGGGAUGCCCACAGAGUUCCACCGCAACCGUGCACAGAGGAGGAGGAGAAUGCUCCCUACAGGUGAAAACUAGGCUAAUACACAAUGAUUGAAGACUAAAGGCUAUGCAACUGACCCUAGACUCAAGAACUGAAAGAUCACAAACUGAGCUCUCCUAGGACCCCAGAACAUGAAUUGCUACCAACAGAGAUUCUGAGAAUGAGGAAAUGGUGAUAAAUAUAUUCCCUAGGUAAAUAAACAAUGGUUCAGUCAAGACUUAAGAUGUCUUUCUUCCAGGCUGCAUAGCUCCUUUAAUCUUUCUCCUGCCUUGGGCCCAGGCACAAAAAAGAGUUGAUUCCCUUUAAUAAAUAAGUCAUCUACUUCACAGAGUUCAUAUCAUGAGGAACGAAUCAGAAAACAUAUGUGAAAAUUGCUUUGAAGUCAUGUUAUGAUUUUCAAAUGCAUGCUAUUUUGUGUUCUUUGUCUAUCAUCACUAUUAUAAUCAUUAUUAUAUGCUGACUAAGAGAAGAAAAGGUGGCUAUUUCAACCACUGUUGGAAGAAAAGGACUGUAAACAGGGUUUCACGCUGAACAUUUUUGGCUGCUGUUUGUUGCUGGGAAAGUAUUGGAAAAAGAAAACAAACUGUUAAUAUUAAAAAACAGGCAAACUAUUUUUUAAAUUUUUUAAGUAUAUGCAUCCAUGAAAUUUAGAAAAUGUAUUACUAGUCAUAUUCGAUUAGAGAAAAAGGAAUUUAGGAAGUUUUUUAAAUUAGUAAAAAAUAAAAAUAAUAAAAAAUGAAACCCAUAGCCUAUCACCUAAUGCUAAACACCACUAACAUUUAAUAUUUUUUCCCACAGGAUUUUUUUUAUAUGCUUGAGUUUGGUUUUAUGCUACAAAUGUCAUAGUAUACAUAAAAUAUUGCAUCCUUCCUUUUUACUCAUUUUUUAACAAAAGUAUUUUUGUUGUUUAUAGUAACUACAGUGCUCAAUGAUAGAUUUUAUUUGUAAUAUCUAUAAGAUAUUGUAUUAACAUUUACAGUUGAGGAUCAUAAAAAUCAUCCUGAAAUUAAAUGUUGAAAAGAAAC